AGAAGCUUGAUUGACUGAGUGGCGGACGGGUGAGUAACGCGUGGGAAACCUGCCUUAUACAGGGGGAUAACAGUUAGAAAUGACUGCUAAUACCGCAUAAGCCUGCAGCAUCGCAUGAUGCAGGAGGAAAAGGAGCAAUCCGGUAUAAGAUGGUCCCGCGUCUGAUUAGCUAGUUGGUAAGGUAAUGGCCUACCAAGGCGACGAUCAGUAGCCGACCUGAGAGGGUGACCGGCCACAUUGGGACUGAGACACGGCCCAAACUCC
rnacentral:rRNA from 1 species